rnacentral:piRNA from 1 species
UGCUACGUACUCUGUCCAGGAUGAAUUUCU